GCCUGCCCAGUGACCCUGUUUAACGGCCGCGGUAUCCUAACCGUGCGAAGGUAGCGUAAUCACUUGUUCUCUAAAUGCGGACUAGUAUGAACGGCACCACGAAGGUUAUACUGUCUCCUUUUUCUAAUCAGUGAAACUAACCUCCCCGUGAAGAGGCGGGGAUAAAACUAUAAGACGAGAAGACCCUAUGGAGCUUUAAACAAAAUAGCACUUGCCUUAUAACAUAAAUUCCUGAAUCUUACUCCAAAGCAAUAUGACUAUAAGUUUUUGGUUGGGGUGACCACGGAGCAAAAUCCAACCUCCAUGUUGAAAGAAUUAAACUAAGAAUCACCUUUCUAAGUAUCAGUAUACUGACAUCAAUUGACCCAAUACAUUUGAACAACGAACCAAGUUACCCUAGGGAUAACAGCGCA
rnacentral:rRNA from 1 species